rnacentral:rRNA from 1 species
GAUGAACGCUAGCUACAGGCUUAACACAUGCAAGUCGAGGGGAAACGACAUCGAAAGCUUGCUUUUGAUGGGCGUCGACCGGCGCACGGGUGAGUAACGCGUAUCCAACCUGCCCAUCACUUGGGAAUAACCUUGCGAAAGUAAGACUAAUACCCAAUGACAUCCCACGAAGACAUCUGAAUGGGAUUAAAGAUUUAUCGGUGAUGGAUGGGGAUGCGUCUGAUUAGCUUGUUGGCGGGGUAACGGCCCACCAAGGCAACGAUCAGUAGGGGUUCUGAGAGGAAGGUCCCCCACAUUGGAACUGAGACACGGUCCAAACUCCUACGGGAGGCAGCAGUGAGGAAUAUUGGUCAAUGGGCGAGAGCCUGAACCAGCCAAGUAGCGUGCAGGAUGACGGCCCUAUGGGUUGUAAACUGCUUUUAGAAGGGAAUAAAGUGGGUCUCGUGAGACUUUUUGCAUGUACCUUAUGAAUAAGGACCGGCUAAUUCCGUG